rnacentral:rRNA from 1 species
UACGGGGGGAGCAAGCGUUGUUCGGAUUUACUGGGCGUAAAGGGCGCGUAGGCGGCGUGACAAGUCACUUGUGAAAUCUCCGGGCUUAACCCGGAGCGGCCAAGUGAUACUGUUGUGCUAGAGUGCGGAAGGGGCUACUGGAAUUCUCGGUGUAGCGGUGAAAUGCGUAGAUAUCAGGAGGAACACCGGUGGCGAAGGCGGGUCUCUGGGCCGUUACUGACGCUGAGGAGCGAAAGCGUGGGGAGCGAACAGGA